UUUAUUGACAACAAGAGAAAUAUAGAAUAUCACCAAAAUUAUCCUGAAUAAACAAAUUUUGUUCAGCUCCUUUCCAAAAAAAUAAAAAGUGAUUGUAAACUUAUGGCAUAGUUUCAUACAAAAACAGAGAACAUCCUGUAGGAGAUGUUGAGAAACCAUUCAAUAAUACAACCACUGACAUUGACCCACUACUUUGGUCUGUCAGUUAAUAUGUUACAGUCAAACAUAGUGUCAAAGGCAAAAUUUAGAUAUAACAGUUUUAACACCAACCACCUGCAAAAUGUUCAGAUAGCAUUUGGACAAAAGUUGGGAAACAACAAGUCUAAUAAGUAAGUACUGUAAAGUUGUGGGUCAUGGUUUGGUUUCAAAAAUGAACUCUUGGAGGGUUAAAAUAGUCAGGCACAGAGCCAGAGUAAAGAGAGCUGCAAACGAUAAUGAGCAGACUUGGACCAACGGUUCCCAAAGCCUGUUUUAAAAAUUGACAUUGCGAAACAUCCAAUGGGAUACAGGAGAUUUUCAUAUGGUUAACUGUGAUGAUAAGAUGUUGUUAUAAAGCAGGAGACAGUUGGCUAAGUGAACCUGAGUAACAGAAAAUGAAGCAAGCCUCUGACAAUCCUCGGAGGCAGGUGGACCAUUUGGAAACAGGUUUAUGAGUUGAUUGGUCUGAAACAUAACCCAGGGUUUUUGCAUUGAUUGUUGCAACUGUGUGAGACAUGUAAAACCUCUAAACUAAAUGAUUUCCCGAUAUUGUCUUUACAUCCAUGUUGGAGUGUUUUCUCAGAAACAGGAAAAAGUGACUAAACACCCCAGUCAGCAGUUAACCCAUCCAGAAAAGCAUUCAACAUCCUGUAGAAAAAGUCAUGUCUUCGCUGUGGAGUCAGAAACCAAUGGCUUCCUGUGAAAUUCUAAAACGCUGCAUGCAUUAGCGUGAACUGUACGCUACAUUAAUGCUCUGAAAUGUUUAAUAACUUCACAUAAAUGCUCAUUUAUAACCAAGAAGAGAACAUAAUUAAUCAGUGAGCUACUUUUUAACCAAGUACAUCUCAGGAUGAGAAGCUCUCAAAUAUGUCAAAAUAUGUCCCUAUUUAGAUGAGUUAGAUGAGAUCGAUACUACUCUCAUGUCUGUACAAUAAAUAUGAAGCUACUGCCAGCAGCAGUCUUAGCUUAGCUAGAAGACUGGAAGCGGGGGAAACAUAUUAUAUCGUUGUAGCUUCAUAUUUAAAGUACAAACGUUAGUGAUAUCAAUCUUCUCAUCUAACUCUCGGCAAGAAAGCGAAUAAGUGUAUUUCCCGAAAUGUCAAAGGUUUCAGUUUAAACUUUUUAAAAAAUAUGUCAUUGUUUGUAAACCAUCUACAGUGAGACAAGUCUUCCUAAUCUGCCUGUUUUUUUUUUUUUGUUUGCUUUUUGUUUUUCGACUUAAUACACUCGGGGUGUGUUCUGCUUGUAAAUUGAAGGAGUGUAAUGAACCAAAGCCUUUCUGAAUUGCUGACCUGAGGUGUAACCUUAUUCACCUUAAAUAUUCUGGUAAAGACUGCCUCAUCUUCAAAACUCAGAAUUAUCUUUCCAGUUUCAGACCCUUCUUUGUCUGCAGCCUGUAAUCAAGUGAGCGUGAUGUCAGCUCCAAAAGGGUGAAAAAAUGUGAAUUUGUGCCAAGAACAUGAGGAUUAUGCUGAGGAAAAACUAUUUGAUGCAGUGUUGACGUGAAUGCACUAGGCAGGAGAACAGUAAAUGCUGAUACCAGAAUACAAGGAAAAUAUUGAGGAAAAAUGAGCCAGAGGGCUGAUAGCAGAGGCAGCCUCAGCACACAUGGAGUUCAGGGAGUAGAUCUGUGAGCAAGGGCGCCCCCUGUAGGAUACCUGAAAGUCAGGCGCUGCAGUUCCUCUCCUCUCUUUACCUGUUGAAAAUGACUUCCAGCUCCACAUACAGUAUACUAAAGAAAAAAAACAUGGAGAUAAAUCAUAAUGUGUGUGUGUGUGGUGGUGAAAAUUAUGCGGCAAAAAACUACAAAAUGGACAAACCUUCAGACAAAAACACUCAUCCACCAUCUUUUAAGAAUGACUUACUCAUUAAAGGUGGCAGCUCCAUGGAUGUUUGCGUUUUUUGUCAGAAUGUAGUUUGUUGGUUUGAAUUGUUGGUCAGUGGUUAGAAUCAGUGAGGUUACACAACAGGAAACAAUAUUCUUUACAUGUCCCACUAGAUGGUGCUCUCAUCACAUCCUGUCCACAUGAGCUCUGCUGCACUAACACACACGAGGUGGACAAAAUAAUAGGUCCAUCUUACCUAAACACUGCUUUUGUAAAGCUGAGAAAGUUAUGUUUUUUUUUUUAGAUUGUGUCAGAGAGGAGCUGAUUCCAUUGUUUAUGGUGUUGUUUUAUUAAAUUGCAUUUUAUGUGUCCUCCUGUUGUUCGUUUUAAUAGAAAUAAACGAUAGCACUUAGCUAAAGUCAGUACACAAAUUUCACCACAAGGAGAUUAACAAGAACAGUAAAAAUAUACAAAGGAGAUAGAAAUGAAAACAACAUCAAGAGGGCAUUUAACAGAAGAUCACAGAUUAUAAAUGAAUAUGUAAAAUGUCAUGAUCAAAGGCACUUAUUUGACUAUAAAUACAGAACAAUCUUUAUAAUGACAGGAAAACAAAUAAACUUAUAUAGAUGUAUAAAUGUGUUUUUUUUAUAUACAAGCUAUUCCUUAUACGUAUUGGAUGAGUAUUGGGAUGUUUUGAUUUUGUCAAAAGUAUAAAGCAUGAAUAUAUAUAACAACGGGUCAAAAGUAGCAAACCCAAAAAAAACUAAUUUUACAAUUUUAUUCCAAACUGAUUCAGUAUGUGGAAAUGUAAUUUCACUUCUCCUUGUACUAAGAUUUGCACAUGAUUGUGACAUGUUUCAUUUCAUGUCAUAUUCCAAAAGUUCAAAUGAAAACAUAAAACAAGGGUGAACAGUUCAGAGGGGCUUUGGCAUUGUUUUGGUUGGAUGUCUAUCACCAUUAAAUCCCAUCAUGCAACUCUUUUGGAAUAUGUGCAUAUUUUUUUCCAUCUUAAGAGGGAUUUAGCACAUAUACAGGCCGGUAUUUUGACCACUGAAAGAUGUCAUGUCAUGUUGACGCAACUGGUUUCUCCGUUACUCCAAUGGACGCAUAUUGUUACGGCAUUGUGUGUACACCUAGUGUUCAAAGCUGUCAUCCUGUACUCAGAGACGACGUCACUGCUAAAGCGCUGAGUCAUAUGCUAACGCCAUCUGAGCCAUAAGACAAUUAGGACUAAGAAGUGCCACACAGCAGCAUUUAACUGGAGACGGUGCACAGAUACCAGCCAGCCUAAAUGGGUUACAGCAAACACAACCAGCUCGCCUGCUGUUUACCUGAACUGGGGAGAAUCUCAGGUGGUGGAUGUGAAUGUGAAAUAGGUCCAAAAAUGUUCAAAUAUUACACAUUUUUUAAGUUGUCAUUUUUUUUUCUCCCAAACUGGAGUAAGGGAAAGUUUGACUAAAAUAAUUGAAUUUUACAAAAACUUAAAAAAAGGUGCAGUGUUGUAAAAUUGAACCCCAAUAAAAAAAAUCUGCUUGUUUACUUUACAGGAAAAAAACAGGAAGAGGGUGCUCUGCUUGGGAGUCUUGUGGAAGAAGUAAAAAAAAAAAAUACCUUCCAACAUGUUUAUCCUCUUCAUGUAGGGGUUGAUGGGAAUUAAGACUCGAACUUGAGAAACUCUAUUAAAAAUGUGAAUGUUAAUAACGGUGAGACAGGAGCUACACGACAUCUUCACCAUAGUGUCAUUUGUUUACUCUAAUACUCAGCAGUCAUCAGUGACAAUCAUUUUUCAAUUUGUCAAAAACAUUUCAGUUGAAAAUACUUUACAAUGACAUUGCUUGAGAUGCAUAAGAUAUGUAUAAGCACUAACUGGCUAUUUAACCUACAAUGCUCAAGUGUACAAUUCAAAACGAAGAAGAAAAUCCUAAGUUUAUGGUCAAUGCUAUAUAUAAACUAAGGUACUGUAUAAUAUGACGGCUUGUUUUCGAGGGGGUUAGCUCGGUAGCACGCUGGGGUCACUGGGUAAGUGGGAUGGGAACGCGAUAUGUUUUAACGACUUUUUAUUUCACUUGUCUGCAGUAGGGCUACAUGUAUGGGACUAUUUCAAAGUUUCACUUCAGAACAUCCAAACCCUCUACACCAAGUCCUUAGAAAACAGUUCCAUAUUUAUUGCAAAAUAUUUUUGUACAGAAUACAACUGAAAAAACAUCAACAGAGGAGGAAUGGACAGUAAGGCCAACAUCAGAACUCCAAGAGCUGAACUGUACAAACACCAAUAGUAACAUUUGCUGCUUUAAUAGUGUUUUUAUACAUAAAUUGUUUCCCGCCCUCACAGCCACCUCCUUAAGGGGGAGAAAAAGAAGGAACUCAUUUUUCUAAAACAUUAUUGCCUUUGCCUGUAAACCCAUCAAGAGAACACCAAUGGACAAUCCUUAAAAUGUCAAACUUUCUGUAAGAAACUCCCUUGAUUGAUAAUGUCUCACAAAAUAUAAAUAUAUAUGUACUUGUAAAAAGCUCCAAAUAAUAUGGGACUGAAAAUAUUUUCAAAGUCAGUGUUGCAUCACUUGUCAUUGAGAACAUGAGGAGGUUCAGAGCACUACAGCUAAAGUUAGGAGGCUAACACCAUUACCUCAACUUCUAACACCAGUAACUGAGUGUGCUGAGAUAAUACUUCUGAUUUUGAACUAAAUAAAAUAUUGUGUUUAAAGUUUGCCUUUAGUUUACUUCACACUGCUGGAAUAAUUGAACCCUCACUUGAGCUUGGAGGGGUUUAGCAUAGUGCGUCUAGAUAAAUUCGGGCGUGCAUGCCCAUGCACAUCCUCAUGCGAUUUGGCACUGAUGUAAAAGUUCUUUCCUCAAAGUAAACCUCACGGUAAACACGUCUCAGUCUCUCCAGCUCCUUCUCUUACAUCUUUUUUCCUUACACAUAAAAAAAAGGCAGAGCGAGACAUGAUACAUUUUUUCCCCCCCCGACAUUCAAAUGUACAUCUUUAACAUUGGCUCUCCCAAAAUGUGGGAUCAAAUGAAGUCAA